UGGCUCUCGCAUCGAUGAAGAACGCAGCGAAAUGCGAUAAGUAAUGUGAAUUGCAGAAUUCAGUGAAUCAUCGAAUCUUUGAACGCAACUUGCGCCCCUUGGUAUUCCGAGGGGCACGCCUGUUUGAGUGUCGUGAAUUUCUCCACUCUUCCACUUUUGCGAGUGGUCUGAGCUGGGUUUUGGGGGUCUUGCGGGGUUUCCUCUGGAAGUCCGCUCCCCUUGAAUACAUUAGUGAGGAGCCUCUAGGGUGCCUUGACGUGAUAGAUAUCUACGUCGUGGGGGCCUAGGGUCAGAGCCUUGCUUCAAACCGUCUUCGGACAGAACACUAUUUAACUUGACCUCAAAUCAGGCGGGACUACCCGCUGA
rnacentral:misc_RNA from 1 species